AUAUUGUUGAAAAAAUAAAAAUAAAAGAAAUACAAAUAGGCGCAUACCAUAGAGCCAAGUGCACUUGGAUUAAAGCACAAAAUCGCAACUAGAAAUAGUUUCACUUUUUAUUGGAUUAGCCGCACUCCGAUUGGAAUUCGUACUCUGAUUGGACAACAGCUGCUGCCACAAAAAACAGGAAAUCUUUUU